rnacentral:sRNA from 1 species
ACACGGGAAGGGAGGUGGUCCGAAGUUGUGUAAUUCUUGGACUCGUGAGGUGACUGUCAGCUAGCCGGUCUCGUGGUCCUCACCGAGCGGGAUACGUCCCGAUCCGGGUGCCCAUGAGCCCCGGCCGGCGAGUACCAGGCAGUUACCGGGCCCCCGGGUGUCGUCGUAGUCCCGACGGCCCGCGCCGUGUGCCAUGCACCGACGCGGAAGCACCCGGGGGUUUUUACGU